rnacentral:rRNA from 1 species
UACGGAGGAUGCAAGCGUUAUCCGGAAUUAUUGGGCGUAAAGCGUCCGUAGGUGGUUGUUCAAGUCUGCUGUCAAAGCGUGGAGCUCAACUCCAUAUCGGCAGUGGAAACUGGGCGACUAGAGUGCGAUAGGGGUAACGGGAAUUCCCAGUGUAGCGGUGAAAUGCGUAGAGAUUGGGAAGAACACCAGCGGCGAAAGCGCGUUACUGGGUCUGCACUGACACUGAGGGACGAAAGCUAGGGGAGCGAAAGGG